GGCUCAGAAGCAGCCAUUCCUUGAAAGAGUGCGUAACAGCUCACUGGUCGAGCAUGCGGGCGCAGACAAUGUAACGGGGCUAAGCAUUAUACCGAAGCUGCGGAUCUUGCGCAAAGGCGCAAGGUGGUAGGGGAGCAUGCCGUCAACCGGCGAAGGCGGACCCGCGAGGGCCGCUGGAGGAAACGGCAGAGAGAAUGCAGGCAUAAGUAACGAAAAGACGGGUGUGAUUCCCGUCCGCCGAAAACAUAAGGUUUCCAGGGUAAAGGCAAUCUGCCCUGGGUAAGUCGGAGCCUAAGUCCAGGCCGAAAGGCGUAGGCGAUGGUAAUCCGGUUCAAAAUCCGGAACCUCCGGCAUUUCGAUGCCACGACGCAUGAGGCGACGUCCGGCGGGAGAACGGUAGUUCCCGUCCAAGCAUUGAGCCGUCAAGGGAGGGGGUUAAAUGAUCCUCCCAGGCGAGAUGUGACAGCGAGCUGAGAGAAAGUCGAAGCGAAGCGGGCAGAGUCAAGGUGCCGAGAAAGAGUGGCUAGGCAAGGUGCCGGAGUCCGUACCGUAAACGGACACACGUAUGUAGGAUGAGUAAUCUAAGGCGCUCGAGCGACCUCGCGUUAAGGAACUCGGCAAAAUGCGCACGUAACUUCGGAAGAAGUGCGGCUCCUGUUUGAAAGGAUAAGGAGCGGCAGAAAGCAGGCCCAGGCGACUGUUUAUCAAAAACACAGCCAUCUGCGAACCAGCAAUGGGACGUAUAGGUGGUGACACCUGCCCGGUGCCGGAAGGUUAAGGGGAGCGCUCAGGAGCAAUCCGAAGGUGCGAACCGAAGCCCCGGUAAACGGCGGCCGUAACUAUAACGGUCCUAAGGUAGCGAAAUUCCUUGUCGGGUAAGUUCCGACCCGCACGAAUGGUGUAAUGAUUUGGGCACUGUCUCAACGCGAGAUCCGGUGAAAUUGAAGUCCAGGUGAAGAUGCCUGGUGACUGCAGUUAGACGGAAAGACCCCGUGAACCUUUACUCCAACUUGGUGCUGAAGAUUGGACUAGCAUGUGUAGGAUAGGUGGGAGACUGAGAGUCGUGCCCGUUAGGGUGCGAGGAGUCGUCGGUGAAAUACCACCCUUGCUGAUUCAAUUUUCUAACCGCUGCCGUAAUCCGGCAUCGGGACAGCGCCAGGCGGGGAGUUUGACUGGGGCGGUCGCCUCCCAAAGUGUAACGGAGGCGCGCGAAGGUCACCUUAGGGCGGUUGGGAAUCGCCCGUCAAGUGUAAAGGCACAAGGUGGCUUGACUGCGAGACGAACAGGUCGAGCAGGUACGAAAGUAGGUCUUAGUGAUCUGGCGGUAGCGUGUGGAAGCGCCGUCACUUAACGGAUAAAAGGUACUCCGGGGAUAACAGGCUGAUCUUGCCCAAGAGUUCACAUCGACGGCAAGGUUUGGCACCUCGAUGUCGGCUCAUCGCAUCCUGGGGCUGGAGCAGGUCCCAAGG
rnacentral:rRNA from 1 species